GUGAACAUAGAUGGCGCACAGGUUUUGGGCAGUGUUGGCACAGAGAAAUGAUGCAAGUAUCGAUGAAAUUUUACCACUAACAUAAAGUAGAAUAUGUCACGAAAAAACAAUCUCGGAAUCAGAAUGAAAGGCAAAAGGGAAGAAAAUUCAUUUAGUAGAGGAAGAGGAAAUAAGAAGAAAGAUGAGCUGAGACCAGA